rnacentral:tRNA from 1 species
UGAGGGAUGGCUCAGUGGUAAAGUGUGUGCUUAGCAAGCAUGAGGUCCUGGGCUCAAUCCCCAGUACCUCCA